UAUUUCAGCAUAGUUCCCUAUAACAGCACGGUCGAACAGGUAAAAAGGCAGUAUUUGAGUUGGCAAGCAUAAGCACCAAUUCAUAUAACACCUUGAGGUUAGUAACUGACCUGUCUAUAAGCGUUUACAAUUGAACCGAGUAGCCUAUGUCCGGCUGUCUCUUGCGCACGAAACCGCUGCAGCCUACAUAUUGCCUCAAGAUCUAAAGUCCGUAGUGCAAUAGCCUUCUGCUGGACAGAAGUCCACUGAUUCACACAGGACGCUUGCACGUCUACUCUGAAAAAACGGUCUCACGUGACCAAAACAACGUAAACACAACAAUAUGAUCAAAAAUACCCACACGCGGGUUGAACGUACUCUGCACUUCAGGGAAUCUCGACCGGGAAACGCUUGAAAGAAGCAGGCACUGACGAACAGGCGGAAAUUCAUUCACAGGCAAGAGCGUGUCGUGAAUCUACUGAAAGCUUGAACCGCUGGUUUUCACCCAAUAUUGCGUAUGAUAACAGUUAACGGGAUCAUUGCGCAUUCACAAAUUAGUUAUCGGACUCAAACUGCAAACUACCUGGAUGAGUGCUACACCACGCUUAUCACUUUAAAGAAGUGCACUAUGCCCCUCGUUGUACCCAAGCGGAGGGGCAGAGACAGUCAUAGCGGCAGAAAAUAGACGGUCAGAAACAUCAGGCACUCACUGUGGUGGAAAACGGCGGGCGGUCCACUAGCUUGUAGGCGUUGACUUCGCUGUAGUUCCAAGGGGCCACCGUGUCCACUACGGGGCCAGCGGUGCCGUUUAGGUCCCGAGGGGAAUCCCUUCUGAAACUUUGCAGUGCGUCCAUCAUCCCGCAGUGGACGAGUCUAAAAACAAAAACAAAAAAAACAAAAAAAACAGAAUGAAAUCAGGGUUUUCAUUUAUAUUGCUUUUAUUCUGCUGUUUCUCUAUAGUUUGAGAGGAAAUUGUUACAGAAGGAGAGGGAAGUCACUUCCACUGCUUUCCAGUGUCAUGAGACUGACCCGCCCACCCUGCUGACUGAGUGCUGUGCAGGAACCAGCUGAGUCAAAGGAUGCUGACCUCUGAAAAAUCUGAAGAAGAAAUAUGAGCAACAAGAUAAAGCACUCUUUAAUGAGCUCAUUAUCCUGAUAAUAAAACACUCAGUUCCUGACUAAAUGCUGUAGAUGAAGAACUUACCUUGUAAUGCUGAGUUUCUAAGUUUGAAGGUUCGGAGAGACGUUGUUGUACUUUUGAGGGACUUGUUCUACCCAGACACUAUCCCGUUGCUCUGGAUGGUCAGAAUCAGCUCAUGGGGUGCUCUGAGUCAUUUUGAGUCAAUUUAAAUUUAUUUUACCAUGCUUCUUUCUCCUAAAAAUUCCCAGGCUGUUCACUGUCUGCCCUGAAAAAUGUGUACGUAAGGACACUGACAAUCAGUGUGAUACAGUGCAUGUCACAGUCAAUUUACUGUGACUUUAAACUCCUCCAGUCUAAUAAAAUGGUUAAGUUAUAGUUCUUUUUGUAUUAAGCAUACCUAAAGCCUUUCAUCCCUAUUUCAACUAUAUUUGUUAUUUAUUUUUAUUUGUUAAAUAGAUAUGUGGACAGAUUGCCUUAAAAUAAAAUGAACCAAUGGCUUGGGUGCCGGACAGACAUUGAGGACCAGUAUACUUCCAUGUAAUUUGCAAUGAUGAGCAAAUUAGCCUGAUGAAAUAACGAGUGACAUGAUAAACAGUAUCCAAUAAGGAGAGAUGAGACUGAAACAUUUGCGUAGAGAAUGUCUCUAUUUUGAAGUACAGGGAAGAAAGUGGCUGUAUCAAAUAUAUUAUCAUAUAUUUUGUAAAUUUUUGAUUUAUUGUACCAAAACCAAAAAAAAUUUUACCAUGUGCAAUUAUCAUUUUAAUGGCCCUUUCUUCUCUCAUGGACAUUUGGUAUGAACCAUUUAUGUAAAUGUAUGAAACAGUUAAAAACAUUUACUAAGUGAAAGAAAAAACAAUUACAUGCAUGGCAAUGGUAACGGGGUUAAACAUUUACUAAGUAGGGGUAAAUGUUUCAAACAUUCCCAGUAAGAAGAAUAAACUUUCAUCAUGAUAGGCUAAUUAUUCCAUCAUAGCUUGUGCACUGCAGGUAAAACACUGGCUAGGUUUAGCAAUUUAUCUCUCUCUCUCUCUCUCUCUCUCUCUCUCUCUCUCUCUCUCUCCCUUCUCUCUGUCUACUGUAAUUCUUAAUAUU